UAGAGAAUGUUUGAGUGAGACAACCAUCACCCUUCCACUUCACUUGAGAGCCCAGGAUGGGCAAUAUUUGAGCAGGCACGUUCUAAGGAUAGAGGGACUCCACUGUAUGCACCAGCUGUACAAACUUUUCAGUCUCUUUGUUUUGUAGUUACUGGAUCCAGCAUCUCUGCAACCUACUGGGCUUAAUGCUGUACUAUCCUCCGGCCGUAGCAGAUGAAGUUGCCUCAGGCAGAGCAAAGUUCUACUAUAUCUCAUAAAAAUAUGAUUUUCCCAGCUACAGGCCCCUCAGCAACAUGAUGCUUCUCACUGUUUGUUUGUUAAACCUUUAUUAAAUUUCCCAGCAAAAUAUACAACUGCAUGUGACAAAAGUACUUGUUCAUCUAGUAAAUAUGUUUUGGAAUUUAAUGUUAUUGUGUAUUAAGUUCUAAAUUCACUGAAGGAAUAAAAUACAUACACAUUUUUAAAGUAACAUAGAAAACAAGUUUUUUUUCAAUUCAGGACUUAAAGAUAGCACAGACCUUAAGUAAUGGUAUCACACUGUCAACAGAUGGACAUGGAGAAAGCUCUGUUGAAAGUUCUGUGUUAAUUUAUGAAUGUUAUCCACCUUCCCAAAUACAUAGCUAUGGAAAUGACCUCAAAACCAGCCCUCUCUAAUAUUGGGCAGACUUUUUCAUGCCUUGGUAAAUAUAAUCUAAAAAGGGCUCUCAUGAAAACUGAAUCCCAUUCUACUCCUCGUGGCAGAGGUUGAACAUGUGUAUAGCUUAGCAUCCAAAUCAUUCAAGCCUUUUGUAUUGGCAGUGUAUUAGAGGAUGAGAAUCAGAAUAAUUUGCUUGUGUUUGCAUCUGGUCAUCUGAAAUUCAAUAGUAGAGACUCUGAUGUAUGACAUUAUGAGUUUCCAGGUGUUUCUGCUUGGAGCCCUUGCUAUGUCAAGUACCGUGUUUCUGAUCAAUGCAACAUUUGCUGUGUUUCACACCAAACCUAAUGUGCUCAGUGACGUGCUCCUGUACAGAUAUACCAGAAACUAGCUGCCUCUAGCCUGGCAGCGGUUAACAAAUCUGCUCCAUAACAGACUUACUGAAAAAGUACCAUCUGCUUCCUGAUAGAGGGAUUUCUGGUUUUGUUUUUGUUUUUGUUUUUCCUGUUGACUUAAGAAGACAUGAAACAAUAUGAGCAGUUGGAUACCCAAGGUGACAAGGUAAUGGAAUUUUCCAAGUCUUAAAUAAAGGAAGAUAACUUAUGUAAGUCCUUGGCAUUUACAAUGUAUGGCAGAACAUUUUCCUUCCAUUCUUGCAACUAUUUGCAACACCAAAAAACUAAAAAUAAUUUUUUUCUAAAUUCAAGGUUGUCCUCCUACCAAAAAAUAUAUAUGUUUUUAAUGCUAUUUCUUUGAUUUUAAUGAUUAAUCCAGUGUCCGCAGAUGAUGCACUUGUUGAUAAAUUACUUGCAAUUUACUGCAGACCCUCCCUUUCUUUGCAUCUCUCCUGUGCUCUACAGUCUGUGGUGGGGACAGUAAAUCAGUACCAUGAAUAUUAUAUUGUGUGCAUCUGGAACAACACCAAAGAAACAUAAAACACACAAAAAUAGUUUCUAAAGAGAGGAAAUAGCUUUUCAAAUUUAAAUGCAUGAUGUCUGCAAACUUCACUCAACAAGCUCCACACUGUUGGGAAGACAGGCCAGAGGGCCUGAUGAUACUCUUUCAACUCU